rnacentral:rRNA from 2 species
CUAUACAUGCAGUCGACGAACUCUGGUAUUGAUUGGUGCUUGCAUCAUGAUUUACAUUUGAGUGAGUGGCGAACUGGUGAGUAACACGUGGGAAACCUGCCCAGAAGCGGGGGAUAACACCUGGAAACAGAUGCUAAUACCGCAUAACAACUUGGACCGCAUGGUCCGAGCUUGAAAGAUGGCUUCGGCUAUCACUUUUGGAUGGUCCCGCGGCGUAUUAGCUAGAUGGUGGGGUAACGGCUCACCAUGGCAAUGAUACGUAGCCGACCUGAGAGGGUAAUCGGCCACAUUGGGACUGAGACACGGCCCAAACUCCUACGGGAGGCAGCAGUAGGGAAUCUUCCACAAUGGACGAAAGUCUGAUGGAGCAACGCCGCGUGAGUGAAGAAGGGUUUCGGCUCGUAAAACUCUGUUGUUAAAGAAGAACAUAUCUGAGAGUAACUGUUCAGGUAUUGACGGUAUUUAACCAGAAAGCCACGGCUAACUACGUGCCAGCAGCCGCGGUAAUACGUAGGUGGCAAGCGUUGUCCGGAUUUAUUGGGCGUAAAGCGAGCGCAGGCGGUUUUUUAAGUCUGAUGUGAAAGCCUUCGGCUCAACCGAAGAAGUGCAUCGGAAACUGGGAAACUUGAGUGCAGAAGAGGACAGUGGAACUCCAUGUGUAGCGGUGAAAUGCGUAGAUAUAUGGAAGAACACCAGUGGCGAAGGCGGCUGUCUGGUCUGUAACUGACGCUGAGGCUCGAAAGUAUGGGUAGCAAACAGGAUUAGAUACCCUGGUAGUCCAUACCGUAAACGAUGAAUGCUAAGUGUUGGAGGGUUUCCGCCCUUCAGUGCUGCAGCUAACGCAUUAAGCAUUCCGCCUGGGGAGUACGGCCGCAAGGCUGAAACUCAAAGGAAUUGACGGGGGCCCGCACAAGCGGUGGAGCAUGUGGUUUAAUUCGAAGCUACGCGAAGAACCUUACCAGGUCUUGACAUACUAUGCAAAUCUAAGAGAUUAGACGUUCCCUUCGGGGACAUGGAUACAGGUGGUGCAUGGUUGUCGUCAGCUCGUGUCGUGAGAUGUUGGGUUAAGUCCCGCAACGAGCGCAACCCUUAUUAUCAGUUGCCAGCAUUAAGUUGGGCACUCUGGUGAGACUGCCGGUGACAAACCGGAGGAAGGUGGGGAUGACGUCAAAUCAUCAUGCCCCUUAUGACCUGGGCUACACACGUGCUACAAUGGAUGGUACAACGAGUUGCGAACUCGCGAGAGUAAGCUAAUCUCUUAAAGCCAUUCUCAGUUCGGAUUGUAGGCUGCAACUCGCCUACAUGAAGUCGGAAUCGCUAGUAAUCGCGGAUCAGCAUGCCGCGGUGAAUACGUUCCCGGGCCUUGUACACACCGCCCGUCACACCAUGAGAGUUUGUAACACCCAAAGUCGGUGGGGUAACCUUUUAGGAACCAGCCGCCUAAG